rnacentral:misc_RNA from 1 species
GAUGAAGAACGUAGCGAAAUGCGAUAAGUAAUGUGAAUUGCAGAAUUCCGUGAAUCAUCGAAUCUUUGAACGCACAUUGCGCCCUCUGGUAUUCCGGGAGGCAUGCCUGUCCGAGCGUCGUUUCAACCCUCGAGCCCCCGUGGCCCGGCGUUGGGGAUCUGCCACGGCAGGCCCCUAAAACCAGUGGCGGACCCGAAGGCCCUCUCCUUUGCGCAGUAGCAUCAGCCUCGCAUUGGGAUCCCUCGGCGUCCUGCCUCUAAACCCCCCACAAGUCCGCUCCGGCGGCACCAAGGUUGACCUCGGAUCAGGUAGGAAUACCCGCUGAACUUAAGCAUAUCAAUAAGCGGAGGA